UGCAGCUCAGUGGUAAAGCACUUGCCUAGCAUGCACAAGGCCCUGGGUUCCAUCCCCAGCACUGCAA
rnacentral:tRNA from 1 species